CCUACGGGAGGCAGCAGUAGGGAAUCUUCCACAAUGGGCGAAAGCCUGAUGGAGCAACGCCGCGUGAGUGAUGAAGGCCUUCGGGUUGUAAAACUCUGUCAUUCGGGACGAACCGGAGUCUGAGGAAAUGCAGACUCUCUGACGGUACCGGAGGAGGAAGCCCCGGCUAACUACGUGCCAGCAGCCGCGGUAAUACGUAGGGGGCAAGCGUUGUCCGGACUCACUGGGCGUAAAGCGCGCGCAGGCGGUGGUGUAAGUCUGAGGUGAAAACCCGAAGCUCAACUUCGGGACUGCCUUGGAUACUGCGUCACUUGAGGAUAGGAGAGGCAAGGGGAAUUCCACGUGUAGCGGUGAAAUGCGUAGAGAUGUGGAGGAACACCUGUGGCGAAGGCGCCUUGCUGGCCUAUUUCUGACGCUGAGGCGCGAAAGCGUGGGGAGCAAACAGGAUUAGAUACCCUGGUAG
rnacentral:rRNA from 1 species